GUGGGGAAUCUUGCGCAAUGGGCGAAAGCCUGACGCAACCAUGCCGCGUGAAUGAUGAAGGUCUUAGGAUUGUAAAAUUCUUUCACCGGGGACGAUAAUGACGGUACCCGGAGAAGAAGCCCCGGCUAACUUCGUGCCAGCAGCCGCGGUAAUACGAAGGGGGCUAGCGUUGCUCGGAAUUACUGGGCGUAAAGGGCGCGUAGGCGGACAGUUUAGUCAGAGGUGAAAGCCCAGGGCUCAACCUUGGAAUUGCCUUUGAUACUGGCUGUCUUGAGUACGGGAGAGGUGAGUGGAACUCCGAGUGUAGAGGUGAAAUUCGUAGAUAUUCGGAAGAACACCAGUGGCGAAGGCGACUCACUGGCCCGUUACUGACGCUGAGGCGCGAAAGCGUGGGGAGCAAACAGGAUUAGAAACCCGAGUAGUCC
rnacentral:rRNA from 1 species